rnacentral:rRNA from 1 species
UUGCUCUUCAACGAGGAAUUCCUAGUAAGCGCGAGUCAUCAGCUCGCGUUGACUACGUCCCUGCCCUUUGUACACACCGCCCGUCGCUCCUACCGAUUGAAUGGUCCGGUGAAGUGUUCGGAUCGAGGCGACGUGGGCGGUUCGCUGCCCGCGACGUAGCGAGAAGUCCACUGAACCUUAUCAUUUAGAGGAAGGAGAAGUCGUAACAAGGUUUCCGUAGGUGAACCUGCGGAAGGAUCAUUGUCGAAACCUGCAACAGCAGAACGACCCGUGAACACGUUUUAAACAGCUUGGGCGGGCGAGAGGAGCUUGCUCCUUGGACCCGCCCGCACCUGCUGGGAGAAAUCUCGGCGGGCUAACGAACCCCGGCGCAAUCUGCGCCAAGGAACAAUAAAAGAUUAUCGCGUGGCUCGUGCGGUGGCCCGGAGACGGUGUCCGCCAAUCGAGAUGCGUGUUUAUCGAAAUGUCUAAACGACUCUCGGCAACGGAUAUCUCGGCUCUCGCAUCGAUGAAGAACGUAGCGAAAUGCGAUACUUGGUGUGAAUUGCAGAAUCCCGUGAACCAUCGAGUCUUUGAACGCAAGUUGCGCCCGAAGCCACUAGGCCGAGGGCACGUCUGCCUGGGUGUCACACGCCGUUGCCCCCAUGUGCACUGCCAAAAGCGUGUUCAGGAGGGGCGGAGACUGGCUUCCCAUGAGCAUUGCCUUGUGGUUGGCCUAAAUUCGAGUCGUCGGCCGCAAUCGCCUCGACAUUCGGUGGUUUUCGAUUAUAUCGGUGCCCCGUCGUGCGCGAAUCCGUGACCGACUAGACCCGUACGACCCCAAUGUGCUGCGAACGCAGUGCCUUCAACGCGACCCCAGGUCAGGCGGGAUCACCCGCUGAAUUUAAGCAUAUCAAUAAGCGGAGGA